AUUGAACGCCGGCGGCAGGCCUAACACAUGCAAGUCGAGCGGAGCGGCGGACGGGUGAGGAAUGCCUAGGAAUCUGCCUGGUAGUGGGGGAUAACGUCCGGAAACGGGCGCUAAUACCGCAUACUAUCAGAUGAGCCUAGGUCGGAUUAGCUAGUUGGUGGGUUAAAGGCCUACCAAGGAGACGAUCCGUAACUGGUCUGAGAGGCUGAUCAGUCACACUGGAACUGAGACACGGUCCAGACUCCUACGGGCGGCAGCAGUGGAGAAUAUUGGGCAGUGGACGAAAGCAUGAUCCAGCCAGGCCGCGUGUGUGAAGAAGUUCUUCGGUUUGUAGAGCACUUUAAGUUGGGAGGCGUUACCAACAGAAUAAGCACCGGCUAACUUCGUGCCAGCAGCCGCGGUAAUAC
rnacentral:rRNA from 1 species